UAGCAUAAAAGAAAUCUGGGCCUCCUUU
rnacentral:piRNA from 1 species